UUGGCUUCUAGAAAGGGGGUCCUUAAAGGGCUAGACCAGAAAUGAGCUCUGCUUCUCUUCUGUCCACAUGCCCUUCAGGCUCCCCUUCCCCGGCCCCCACUCAGCUAUGAAUGGCCUCACUGCUGCUUUGCUGCUCACCAGCUGAGUUGACUGCAGCCUUCACCUCCAGGAAGGGCUGUAGUGAGGUUAACACAGGGCAGAGGUCUGACUUCUCCCCCAUAAGUCAUGGAAGAAUGGUUUAUUCUCUUAAAUCACACCUAGAAACAGGCAGGGCUUUCGCUGGUGGAGUCAGGAGCUAAUUUAAAGUCCUCAUUUUGCAGAGUGGCAAGGUCACAUGCCAGCAAAGGGACAGAACUAGAUCCCAGGCUUUCUCUUCGUGUCUCUCCCUGCGUAGAGGCAGGGGCUAGAGAGAACCGAUGUCCAGCUUGUCCGCCAUGUGACCUGGAACAACUCUGCCCCCUCUUUGGGCUGGUUUCCUCAGUCUCUCUCUGGAUAUAGCUGCCCCUCCUCAUGCCAGGACUUGGGGAUGGGGAGGUGGGGGUAGAAUGAGAAUGUCUGAGUCAAGGGAAUCUGGUUUAAUCCUAGAGUUCUGAGGGUCAGGUGUAUUGCUCUGAAAGGCAGAGUCCCAGGGGCUCUCACCUGACCCUCCGUCCUCCACCAGCCUUUUCUUUCCCCAGGUUACCAAACUUUUGGGUUGGUUUCUUAGCUAACAGCCAGGCCUUCCUGAACCCAUUUUUAGCUGGGGAAGGAAAGUCCAGGGGAGGUCUCAGAGACUGAGGAGAGCUUGGGGACCAGGAGAGCAGUAGGUGGCCCUGACAUCCUCUGGCCUCUCCAGAGAGGAGAACCUUCUGAAGCUACUCUGGUCUUUGGGGUCUGGAGGUGAAGAAAGGACAGUGACUUUGCAGGAGUGACACAGUGAGGAGCUAUGGCCACAGCGCUGGGGCGUAGCCAGACUGUUCGUUUUCUGGGUUGCACAGACGAGCACUUGAUCCAGAGAAGCUUUUAGCUAAUGGUGUAUAGUGCUCUGUGCCACCACAAUUUUGCCUUUCUCUGGGAUUUAUUAGUAAUCAGCUUUGUCCUGAUUUGGAGGUGGAGGUGGGGGGAGGGAAUUAGAGGUGGUAGGAAAUGGAGAUGGUCCUGGAGUCACAGGCAGCUCUGCCUCCUCCCUCCACUUCCAGAUGUCCCCCUGCUUCCCACCGAGGACCUUGGCCAUGUCACGUGGCGCUCAGUGGCUUGAACCCCAGCUCUUGGUUUAGUGCUCUGCCCACUACCCCCUCAGCCCAGGGCCUCCUCUAGGAAGCUCCAUUUUCUUCUCAAUCAACAAACAUUGACAUCUACUCAGUCCAGGGGCUCAAGAAGCAGCACUUAAUCAGAGGGAGUCUGCUUUGAAGAUUCUGUGUCUCCCAGCCGUCCUUCUAGGCAGCCUUCCCUGACAGUCACCAUCCCAGGGGACCCUCUGGGGGCUGAGCAAUUUGUGGUGUUUAGAGGACUGUUUUUAGGCCUUCAUAAAUAAGUAUAGCCUCUGAUAAAGAAAUUGAUCCCCUUCCCUGUCCUCCCCGCCCCGCCCCCCAUGACUUCCUGAACACUUUCUUGAUGGCCUCCAGCCCUGGGGACUGGACCUGUGCAUUGAGGACAUUAUGGCUACCAGUGAAUCUGCGAUCUCAACAAAGGGAAAUGAGGGAGGAGGAGCCUUUCUUCAGCUUCUCCCAGCAACUCUAUGGAUCUGAACUCGUGGGAUUCUGUUCCUUUCCUGAGCACCUCCUCCAGGAAGACUUCUUCACUGGACCCUACACAAGGCGGAGCUUCCGUACUUCACAAGGGCACUUGGUUUUACAGAGACAGGGGCAGGAUUCUGGGGAAGUUCCUGUAUAUGAAUUUCUUUGUGUAUGCCACAUUUGACUUUGCCUUAUGUCGUACAAUUGGAAGUCCCUGAGAUGCAAUCAGAUUAUUUAAGAGUGUAAGCAAAUCUUUCCAAUGUGAAAGUGAAAAGGAUUUCUUUAAAAAAUAGAGUCAUCCCUCUUAAACAAGUCACAACACGGCUUGGUAGCUGCCCUCGCUUCUCAGUCUAACAGCUUGGAGACCUGUUUGAGGGAAACCAGUUUGAGAAAUCCCUGUCGUCCUCAUUCACUGUUCUUGCCCUGUCCCUGUGGGAACAUGCCUGUGGCCCCUCAGAAACAUGAUCAGCUCUGGCUCCUGAGGGAACACACCUCUUUCUGAGAAAGAGGUAGUGGCUACAUAGUUCUAAGCAAAGUUUUAAAGGAGAAAAGGAACCACAUUUAUUCAAAUGUCCCGGUAAUAGAGGGAAGAGGGUCACAUUUACUCACCCACAACCCAGAACUUAUAGAAUUCUGCGAAAUGAAUGUAUAUUGAGUCAGUCCCCUGAUUCAUACAUUCAGGAAGAAUAAAUUUCAAUGAUGUGAGACAACUGCA